rnacentral:rRNA from 1 species
UGGGGAAUAUUGCUUAAUGGGCGAAAGCCUGAAGCAGCAACGCCGCGUGGGUGAAGAAGGCCUUCGGGUUGUAAAACACUUUUUGCGGGGAUGAGGAAGGACAGUACCCUCAGCAUAAGCCUCGGCUAACUACGUGCCAGCAGCCGCGGUAAAACGUAGGAGGCGAGCGUUAUCCGUAUUUACUGGGCGUAAAGCGAGUGCAGUCGGAACGAAAAGUUGGAUGUUAAAGCUCCAGGCUUAACUGGGAGAGGUC